rnacentral:rRNA from 1 species
UACAGAGGGUGCAAGCGUUGUUCGGAAUUAUUGGGCGUAAAGCGCGUGUAGGCGGCUUUGCAAGUCGGAUGUGAAAGCCCUCGGCUCAACCGAGGAAGUGCGUUCGAAACUGCAGAGCUUGAGUGCCGGAGAGGGUGGCGGAAUUCCCCAAGUAGAGGUGAAAUUCGUAGAUAUGGGGAGGAACACCAGUGGCGAAGGCGGCUCACUGGACAGUAACUGACGCUGAUGCGCGAAAGCUAGGGGAGCAAACAGG